GAGAGAGAGAGAGAGAGAGAGAGAGAGAGAGAGAGAGAGAGAGAGAGAGAGAGCAUGUGCGAUGAGCAAUAGCUGUGGUCCUUACAGUUGCUGCUAACUGCCCUGGUGUGUGUGUGAGAGAGAGAGAGAGAGGGAGGGAGAGAGAGCGCGCGCGCUAGCGCGAGAGAGCGAGUGAGCAAGCGAGCAGAAAAGAGGUGGAGAGGGGGGGAAUAAGAAAGAGAGAGGAGGAAAGGAGAGAAGGCAGGAGGAAGGCGAGGGACGAUACAACCAUGCUGUGCUGCAUGAGAAGAACCAAACAGGUUGAAAAAAAUGAUGAGGACCAAAAGAUUGAACAAGAUGGCAUCAAACCCGAAGAUAAAGCUCAUAAAGCCGCGACCAAAAUCCAGGCGAGCUUCCGCGGACACAUAACGAGGAAAAAGCUCAAAGGAGAGAAGAAGGGCGAGGCCCAGGCCGCGGAGGCCGACGCCGGCGAGCAGAAGGAGCCCGCGCCCGCCGCGGACGCAGCGGCCCGAGAGGGAGACGGCGCGGCCGAGGCGGCCCCGGGCGCCGGGCCCCAGGCCGAGGAGCCGGGCGCGGCCGGGGACGCGGCCUCGGAGGAGAAGAAGGGCGAGGGCGGCCCCGGCGCGGCCCCGGAGCAGGCCGCCCCGGCCGCCGAGGAGAAGGCCGGCUCCGCCGCCGCCGCCGAGACGGAAAGCGCCGCGAAAGCCUCCGCCGACACCUCGCCGUCCUCCAAGGCCGACGACGGCCCCAAGGAGGAGCCUAAACCAGCCGACGUGCCUGCCGCCGCCACCGCUGCUGCCGCCACCUCCCCCGCUGCCGAGGACGCCGCCGCCGCCCAGCCUCCCACGGAGCCCGCGGAGAGCGGCCGGGCCGAGGAGAAAGCCUCACAGUUUGAAGUGGGUCUCUGGAGUCUGCAGUUCACUGGAGCAGCACCUCGUCCCAGUGGAAGAGAGUUGUUUGUGUCUCUGUCUGAAAGGUUGUCCCAAAGGGAAACCCUCUGAAUAAUGGAGCCAAUUGGAUUUAACCUAAAUAUCACCUCAGUGAUUCAGAUCCAAACAUGAUGCCAACUAUCUAGAAGCUGUAGAUGAAACCAAACCUAAGGAAAGUGCCCGGCAGGAUGAGGGUAAAGAAGAAGAACGUGAGGCUGACCAAGAACAUGCCUGAACUUUAAGAAAUGGCUUUCCACGUCCCUCCCCUCCCCUCUCCUGAACCCUGUCUCUCCCACCCCCUCUCAGUUCCACUCUGAAGUUUCCCCUCCUGUCCUGCUCACAUCUGUGAGUCUGUCCUCUCCAACCCACUGGCCCUCUUUCUCUCUGUGUGGCAAACAUUUAAAACAAAACAAAACAAAAAAAAGCAGGAAAGAUCCCAAGUCAAACAGUGUGGCUUAAACAUUUUUGUUUCUUGGUGUUGUUAUGGCAAGUUUUUGGUAAUGAUGAUCCAAUCAUUUUGGGAAAUUCUUGCACUGUAUCCCAGUUUUUUGAUCUGGUGCGUGUGGCCCUGUGGGAAUCCAACUUUCCUCUCUAUCUCUCUGUUCCAAGUGUGUGUGCAAUGUUCCGUUCAUCUGAGGAGUCCAAAAUAUCGAGUGAAUUCAAAACCAUUUUUGUUUUUCUUCUUUUCAAUGUGAUGGAAUGAACAAAAAGGAAAAAAAUCAAAAACCCGGUUUGUUUUAAAAAUAAAUAAAUAAAUAAGUAAAUAAAUAAUAAAGCAAAUGUGCCAAUUAGCGUAACUUGCGGCUCUAUGGCUCCUUUUUCAAUCUGAAUAUUAAUAAAUCAUGAGAGUAAUCAGA